rnacentral:lncRNA from 1 species
UAAUUCAUUAAAAAAAAUUCAAUUUAAUUAAUACACAAUUCAUAACUGCAAUUAUCAUGCUCUGAAAUAAUUCAAUUAUAUUCUUCUGCUAAGAUUAUUAUCCAAGAAUAACUAUGUAUAAUGCAUGAACUAUAAUUCUACCUUCAGCAGCACAAUUCUAACCCUUUUUAUUCGGUUAAUUAUUGUAAUUAUCAGCCUAGACCUCAUCAAGGCCAGUGUACAUCUCUUUCAUGUUUUUAUUUCCUAUAAGUCUGUAUUCAAUUUUGCAAUUAACAGCUGUGAAUUAGAGUGGCAGACACAGAUGCGAGUGAUUUGCACCAUCUUUUUACUUCUUAAGAGAAACCAGAACAACAUUCGUAGUUUCUUAAGAACAGCAAAAAUUCUUAAAUGCUACAUUCCAAGAUUAUAACAAGAUGGUAAAAAAAGACAAAGGAUUGCAGACAACACAAUAGUUUAGGUUCUUAUGCAGUUUUAUUUUUUUCAUAUGUUUUAUUUUUUACUAUAGCAAAUUGCACCAUUUCGGCGCAUCAAACCGAUCUUUUCUAUUUAUCUUUAGUUAACCUAUUAGACUAGUGACCUCGAUACAGAUUUUCGAUCGUGUUAGCUUCAAACAUGGGUAUGUAUCAUUGUAUUUCCACGUAAGUUAGAAUAAAUUACAAAUAUCGAUUUUUGCACAGAAGCUACUUGCAUUUUUUAAAGUUUAAUCUUGUUGUGAUAUUAUUUAUUCAAAAGCAUACCCGAAAAAUAGCUUUCUGGCAAGAAAAAAAACCACUGUAAUGUUAUUUUUUACGAACAAUUUUGAACGAUAUUAAAAUUGAUUUCUUGGCAUUUUGUUUUUUAUGGAAGAAACCAUGCC